AUUGAACGCUGGCGGCAGGCCUAACACAUGCAAGUCGAACGGUAACAGGAAGAAGCUUGCUUCUUUGCUGACGAGUGGCGGACGGGUGAGUAAUGUCUGGGAAACUGCCUGAUGGAGGGGGAUAACUACUGGAAACGGUAGCUAAUACCGCAUAAUGUCGCAAGACCAAAGAGGGGGACCUUCGGGCCUCUUGCCAUCGGAUGUGCCCAGAUGGGUUUAGCUAGUAGGUGGGGUAACGGCUCACCUAGGCGACGAUCCCUAGCUGGUCUGAGAGGAUGACCAGCCACAAUGGAACUGAGACACGGUCCAGACUCCUACGGGAGGCAGCAGUGGGGAAUAUUGCACAAUGGGCGCAAGCCUGAUGCAGCUAUGCCGCGUGUAUGAAGAAGGCCUUCGGGUUGUAAAGUACUUUCAGCGGGGAGGAAGGGAGUAAAGUUAAUACCUUUGCUAAUUGACGUUACCCGCAGAAGAAGCACCGGCUAACUCCGUG
rnacentral:rRNA from 1 species